rnacentral:rRNA from 1 species
CAGUCGCCGCGGUAAUACGGAGGGGGCUAGCGUUGUUCGGAAUUACCGGGCGUAAAGCGCACGUAGGCGGCUUGGUAAGUUAGAGGUGAAAGCCUGGAGCUCAACUCCAGAAUUGCCUUUAAGACUGCCGAGCUAGCAGGUGAGAGAGGUAAGUGGAAUUCCGAGUGUAGAGGUGAAAUUCGUAGAUAUUGGGAAGAACACCAGUGGCGAAGGCGGCUUACUGGCUCAUACUGGACGCUGAGGUGCGAAAGCGUGGGGAGCAAACAGGAUUAGAUACCCGCGUAGUCCCUGUCUCUUAUAC